GCGCUGGUGGUGUUAGGCGUAGUAUCGCUGCUCGAAAAGCAGAAGGUGUGAGUUCGAGUCCCGCCUGGCGCA
rfam:Heligmosomoides polygyrus genome assembly, scaffold: HPBE_scaffold0000956